rnacentral:rRNA from 1 species
GACGAACGCUGGCGGCGUGCCUAAUACAUGCAAGUAGAACGCACAGUUUAUACCGUAGCUUGCUACACCAUAGACUGUGAGUUGCGAACGGGUGAGUAACGCGUAGGUAACCUGCCUGGUAGCGGGGGAUAACUAUUGGAAACGAUAGCUAAUACCGCAUAAUAUUAAUUAUUGCAUGAUAAUUAAUUGAAAGGUGCAAUUGCACCACUACCAGAUGGACCUGCGUUGUAUUAGCUAGUAGGUGAGGUAACGGCUCACCUAGGCGACGAUACAUAACCGACCUGAGAGGGUGAUCGGCCACACUGGGACUGAGACACGGUCCAGACUCCUACGGGAGGCAGCAGUAGGGAAUCUUCGGCAAUGGACGAAAGUCUGACCGAGCAACGCCGCGUGAGUGAAGAAGGUUUUCGGAUCGUAAAGCUCUGUUGUAAGAGAAGAACGGGUGUGAGAGUGGAAAGUUCACACUGUGACGGUAGCUGACCAGAAAGGGACGGCUAACUACGUG